ACACCCUCUCUCCAGCGGCAGCCUAACCCACCAAGGGGAGAUGUUAAGCCCCACAACUAUGCAGGUGGGACCGUAGUCUCUGCACUUGCAGCACCAGGGGUAGGGACAGUCGGUCCUGUCCCCCAGCCACAGAGCAGUGUAUCCAGAGGGGAGACAGUCGGUCUCCCCCUCCCACAACCAGGCUACUUCAGUGGUAGCGCUGGCACCCGGGCAGAGUACCGCUGGUCUCUGCCCACUCAGCAACCCACCAAGGCAGUCUACCAGCCCCCCGCACAGCUGUGGUGAGGCACCUUGACAUGGACAAGUUGCUAUUUUAUCCAGGUGUAGUAACCAGUUAUUGUGGGUGGGCUGUAUUGCUGUUUGUGCUUUGUGGGUGGGUUGCUGGACUAACCAGGGCACUGACCGGC